rnacentral:rRNA from 1 species
AGCAGCCGCGGUAAUUCCAGCUCCAAUAGCGUAUAUUAAAGUUGUUGCAGUUAAAAAGCUCGUAGUUGAAUUUCGGGAUUAGUAAGUUGGUCGUGCCUCUGGUAUGUACUGGCUUUACUGGUUCCUCCUUCUUGAAGAACUGUAAUGUCAUUAAUUUGGUGUUGCAGGGAAACAGGACUGUUACUUUGAAAAAAUUAGAGUGUUUAAAGCAGGCUAACGCUUGAAUACAUUAGCAUGGAAUAAUGAAAUAGGACGUUUGAUCCUAUUUUGUUGGUUUCUAGGAUUGACGUAAUGAUUAAUAGGGAUAGUUGGGGGCAUUAGUAUUCAAUUGUUAGAGGUGAAAUUCUUGGAUUUAUUGAAGACUAACUACUGCGAAAGCAUUUGCCAAGGAUGUUUUCAUUAAUCAAGAACGAAAGUUAGGGGAUCGAAGACGAUCAGAUACCGUCGUAGUCUUAACCAUAAACUAUGCCGACUAGGGAUCGGAUGAUGUUAAUUUUUUAAUGACUCA